GUCUUGUUCAUUUGAUCACAUUAACAGUGACUCCCUCCUCAAGCAGCUGAGGAGGGAGUCACUGUUAAUGUGAUCAAUGAACAAGAGCCU